rnacentral:rRNA from 1 species
CUCGAUACAUCGGUAUACAAGGUCGUUCACGUGAGGUCAAACUACUUAGCCCGAAUUCUUAGGAACGACACGGCUUUAGGCUCUGUUUUCGGAACUUCCAACAUAGUUCAUUCUACAACAACGAGCACUAUAGAGCUACCUAAUAUCCACCUGACGUAAGCACCACGUUUAUUCUAUAACGAACUCGGUGUAGUCAACGUUCUCGUUAAGAGAAGAAGGUUAGAUUAAGGAAACGAUCGAGGAGUAAAAGGUUAUAAGGCACCUCCGAAGGGACGACUUACAUCAGCAAGAUCUUUAAAUAUGUGACCUACCCUCGUCUUAGGUAUGUAAAACUGUUACGAAGCAACAGCCUAGACACAAUUCUAAAGGUAAAGUGAUGUUUUAGAAGAAAGUAGUAGGUUGAGAAGCCAGACUACUCCGAAGAAGUGUCGUUGAUCGACGGGUAGAACCUCAACACGGAACAUCUGAAACGGCAUAGGAGGACAAGGUUACUAGAUGAAUAGUAGUUUCAGAAGACACCGGGAAUGUUAUAGCAGUUUACGAUUAGAAGGUAGUUUUAAGGUUUGUCUCUUAUCCAGGGAACGAAGUCGCCAUUGUGAGAGAACACCAAAAGAAAGGAAUGCUCAUUCAUAAUAAUACUGUUGUUAACGUCGUUGUUACUGCUUUGGGUAGUGUUCUUGUUAACCGUUUUCGUUUGGUUCAUAGAAGGGGAAAAACACUCGUCGAUGACCCCAACUUAUUGUUCCACCGUCCGGUCCCUCCAACGGUGUGUCUGGAAAUAACCCUUCUUUGGUUGAACGACUUCGUAAACCGUCAUCGACACACCAACCCUGGUCAGGAAGGUUCAGCAACAUCCUGUGUAGUUCACAACUUUCCGAGUAGUACGAACGUUUCCUCCUACCUUACGACGGUGACUUGACUAAUACACUAUUUAAGUCUUUAAGAUCGUAGAGGUUGAAGGGUUCAACGACGCCGUUGUGUGGUGACUCCAAUAACAACGAGUGUAGAUUGUACUAAACGUCCGGACGAUUUAAAGGU